CGGUAGCUAAAUGCGGAAGAGAUAAGUGCUGAAAGCAUCUAAGCACGAAACUUGCCCCGAGAUGAGUUCUCCCUGAGACUUUAGGUCUCCUGAAGGAACGUUGAAGACGACGACGUUGAUAGGCCGGGUGUGUAAGCGCAGCGAUGCGUUGAGCUAACCGGUACUAAUGAACCGUGAGGCUUAACCUUACAACGCCGAAG
rnacentral:rRNA from 2 species